AUUCCCGUCAAUAAAAAUUAAUCAUUUACAACUAACAGUUGCUUUGCUGAUAAAAAAAAUAUAAAAAAUCUUGUCUGACUGUCUCUGUAAUGUAUGCUAUGGAGACGUAACAACGCUGGUGUUCACUGUGUUGGGUCACUUACCAAGGUUCCUUUCUCUGUCAUCCAAAACACUUUUGACAACAAUGUUUUUGGUGAUCAGUGCCAUGAGAAUGAUUCGGCUUGUUGUUCCCCAUAUGGCAACUUGGAAACAGGGAAAGAUUCUCAACAUUGGUGGUGUUAGUGCCUUGGCCUCUGGACUUUGGUCAGGCACUUACAAUGCUUCUAAAGCUGCUCUUCAUGCUUUCACAGAUACAUUAAGGGGGUUUUCUUCUUCUUCUUCUUCUUCUUCUAACUUACCCUACAGUACUUGUACCCUUCAUGAAUCAUGUUAAUCAAAUCAACAAGAGGAAACAUAAUUUCUCCUUGUUUUUACAGAAAUUAAUUAAUGUGAUUAUUUCGUGGAAACUGGAACAUAUAGUGUAGUUUAAUGGCUUAGCCAUAUAUUUGUACUAUUAAAGUAAAAAAUUAGUGAAUGCAACAUUAAUACACAUUUUGUUAUUCUCUCUGUGUACGUGAUAAUUGUUUUUAUUUUGAACAUGCACAUGUCAUAUAUAUAUACAUAUUGGAACUUGUACACUUUGGAAUUGAUGUUGUUAAUGUUGUCCCUGGAGCUGUGGUUACAAAUAUUACGAAUUCUGCCAUUUCCAACUACAAUGGAUAUGCCUGAAUGGAAGCUAUUCAAGCAUUUCGAAGAAGAAUCUACCUGCAUGGUUCUCCUAUGGCUAUCUCUCUACCUUCAAGGCUAUCAUGUAUCAUUUACCACUCUUUCUUAGAGACUUUAUUUUUAAGAAGUUGAUGAAAUGCUAAGAUUAGGGAUGAAAACAGAGCAUGUUGGGGAAGGUUUGGCCCUCCUAGUCCUCGCAAAAGACAGAGCAAAAUCCAUUUUCAUACCCAUCGAGUUUAGGUAUAUUUACGGAUA